AGUCGAACGGCAGCACGGACUUCGGUCUGGUGGCGAGUGGCGAACGGGUGGUAAUGUAUCGGAACGUGCCUGACUAGCGGGGAUAGCACGCGAAAGCGUAGCUAAUACGCAUACGCCCUUCGGGGGAAAGCGGGGGACCUUCGGGCCUCGCACUAUUAGAGCGGCCGAUAUCGGAUUAGCUAGUUGGUGGGGUAACGGCUCACCAAGCGACGAAUCAUGCAGCUGGUUUGAGGACGACCAGCCACACUGGGACUGAGACACGGCCCAGACUCCUACGGGAGGCAGCAGUGGGGAAUUUUGGACAAUGGGGAAACCCUGAUCCAGCCAUCCCGCGUGCGAUGAAAGGCCUUCCAGGUUGUAAAGCACUUUUUUGGCAGGAAAACUUGGCGGGAUAAUACCCCGUGCAACUGACGUACCUGCAGAAUAAGCACCGGCUAACUACGUGCCAACAGCCGCGGUAAUACAUGGAAUUGCAAGCGUUAAUCGGAAUUACUGGGCGUAAAGCGUGCGCAGGCAGUUCGGAAAGAAAGAUGUGAAAUCCAGAGCUUGCUGGAGACUGCAUUUUGAUUUAACUACCGAGCUAGAGUGUAUGUCAGAGGGAGGUGGAAUUCCGCGUGUAGCAGUGAAAUGCGUAGAUAUGCUGGGGACACCGAUAGCGGCAGCCUCCUGGGAUAACACUGACGCUCAUGCACAGCAGUGGGAGCAAACAGGAUUAGAUACCCUGGUAGUCCACGCCUAAACGAUGUCCAGCUAGCUGUUGGGGCCUUCGGGCCUUGGUAGCGCAACUAACGCGUGAAGUUGACCGCCUGGGAAUGCAGAUGCCGAGAUUAAAACUCAAAAGGAAUUGACGGGGACCCGCACAAGCAGUGGAUGAUGUGGAUUAAUUCGAUGCAACACCCAGAAAACCUUACCUACCCUUGACAUGUCUGGAAUCCCGAAGAGAUUCCAAGUGCUCGCAAAGAGAACCGGAACACAGGUGCUGCAUGGCUGUCGUCAGCUCGUGUCGUGAGAUGUUGGGUUAGAAUCCGCAACGAGCGCAACCCUUGUCAUUAGUUGCUACGAAAGGGCACUCUAAUGAGACUGCCGGUGACAAACCGGAGGAAGGUGGGGAUGACGUCAAGUCCUCAUGGCUUUAUGGGGUAGGGCUUCACACGUCAUACAAUGGUCGGGACAGAGGGUCGCCAACCCGCGAGAGAACCAAUCCCAGAAACCCGAUCGUAGUCCGGAUCACGAUCGCAACUCGACUGCGUGAAGUCAGAAUCGCUAGUAAUCGCCGGAUCAGCAUGUCGCGGUGAAUACGUUCCCGGGUCUUGUACCACCUUACAUCACACCAUGGGAGUGGUUUUACCCAGAAGUAGUUAGCCUAACCGUAAGGAGGGCGAUUACCACGGUAAGUUCAUGACUGAGGUGAAGUCGUAACAAGGUAG
rnacentral:rRNA from 1 species